AAUUGAGAAUCUAAAUGGUUCUGUUGGUUUCUUGUCAUUCUGAGUUAGGGAGUAUUGUUAAAUUUCUUUGAAUAUAGCCAGUCCUACUUACAGACCAAGGAGCAGAGGUGCUGACACCAAGACUCCAGGUGGAAGUGACCUGAGGAAAGAGAUUUGCAGUACAUGCUGACAAUACACAUGAGGCUUGAUGUAAGAUCUAAUAACACCAAAAUCGGAAAAAGAAGCAUCUGGAGAGAAAAAAAAAAGAAGCAAGGAACCCAAAAUAUACCCAACAGAUUGGAUCAUCAACCACCAAAUGACCCAUGAGUUUGCUGAGUAUAUUUCUAAACUAGAUAUAUUUAUUUUUCGCUGCAUUUGUGGGGAUUAGAAAGUUAUUUUAUAUGUACAUAUAUUUUAAUAAUUUUGGUAGAUGUGUAAAUUUCUCAUAGUUUUAUCAUUUGCUUCCAUAAUAUACAGAGUGAUAUGAAAUUUAGUUUUUAAAAGAAAAUAUAUUGGCAACUGAAAGGUUGGUACUAGGGUUCAAGGUACGGAUGAAAGUAUUACUGGUCAUCAUUACCUACCAUCACUGGAUUUUAGCAGAAUAUGUCUCUGUUUGAAUUUGCUUCUGUGAAAUACCAUUUUCUUAAACUUAGGAAGUCUGCAAAGAGGCUGGAGCAUAGCUCAGUUAUAGAGCACUUUUGUAGCAUGCAUGAGUCCUGGGUUCCAUACUCAGCAACACACCACACACACACACACACACACACACACACACACACACACAGAACUCUUCAUCUACUUGCUACACAGCAGUACUACAUUUUUGCUCUGCUUAUUUACCAAUAGUUGUUAGCAUAUUAUAAGGCAAGUAUAUCAAGUACGAAAUCACUAGUCAUAUACUUUCUAAUUUUAAUCUUGCUGCUAACCUUGUAGACUGGAUAAGUCAUUUAUUCGCUUUGUAACUCAGACUUUUAUUCAAAAUAGUUUGAUUCCACUCAUUAUUUUAAAUAAGGUUUUAUUGGAAAACAGAUCUUAAAAGGGAAGGAUUUACUCUUACCUCAAAAUUGGCGAAUCAAAUCAGCUGCAGUAUAUAUGCAUUCAGACAGUCAGAAAACAUUAAUAAUGCUUAAGUUUAUUAUGUUGUUUUCUUUUCCUACUACAUCCUAGAGCUAAGACUUUGCAAAUAUAUCACAGGAAGAAUUUAUGUUUUUCCUGGCUUAGCCAGUUGAAUGAUUGAAUGAAAGACAGAAAGUGGUAAAACAGACUAGAAUUUCUGUCUUGUUAUGCAAAUUGUAGGCUCACUUUUUCUGCUUGUCUUAUCUAUAAACCAGCCUCUUCUUAAUUUUAAAUGCCAACAUUCUUAAGAUAAAUGGAUGGACUGACAUUACCAAUAACAUGCCUGGUGGACUUACUAUUUUUUCAGAGCUGGUCAUUUAAAGCAGAUAUGAAAGGCUUUCCUCCUGUGAUAGUUGAGGGAGGACACCAUCAUUGUCACUGCUUGUCUACUAAAGUAUGAAAGAAGUGAGAAUAAGAGGAGAAAAGUUAAAUUAUGUUGGGAGGUGAUUCAUCAGAGAACUUGCAGCUACCAAGCAAGAACCAAAAUGCAAAGCGUUGGCCAGCUUUUCUGCUCUGGCAAAGAACUUCUUAUAUAAUCUGGAUCUGGAGUUUCCUAGAAUGAACUUGCAUUUUCUGAAAUUCCCUUCAUAGAGAAUAUCACCAUUUAAUAAUAAACAGUAUAAUGUAUCUAAACACA